rnacentral:rRNA from 1 species
CAGUAGCCGCGGGAUACGGAGGGGGCUAGCGUUGUUCGGAAUUACUGGGCGUAAAGCGCACGUAGGCGGCUUGGUAAGUUAGAGGUGAAAGCCCGGAGCUCAACUCCGGAAUUGCCUUUAAGACUGCCGAGCUAGUAGGUGAGAGAGGUGAGUGGAAUUCCGAGUGUAGAGGUGAAAUUCGUAGAUAUUCGGAAGAACACCAGUGGCGAAGGCGGCUCACUGGCUCAUUCUAGACGCUGAGGUGCGAAAGCGUGGGGAGCAAACAGGAUUAGAUACCCGCGUAGUCCCUGUCUCUUAUACA